AUAUUGAGUCAGCAUUUUAGACAUAGUACAUAGUCCCAUACUGCAUCUUUGGGUCAGCGAUGGACCACAUAUAUGACAGUGGUCCCAUGAGAUUAUAAUCCUCUAUUUUUGCUGUAUUUUUCCUAUGUUUAGAUACACAAACAUUUACCAUUGUGUUAUAAUUGCCUAUAGUAUUCAGUACUGUAACAUGCUGUAUAGGUCGGUAGUCUAGGAGCAAUAGGCUAUACCACAGAGCCUAGGUGUGUAGGAGGCACCACCAUCCAGGUGUGUGUAAGUGCACUCUAGAAUGUUCACACAAUAGUAAAAUCACCUAAUGAUGCAUUUUUCAGAGUGCACCCUCAUUGUUAAAACUUAGUUUUAAUGUUACUUUGCUUACCCCUUCCCUGGUUGAUCAACACAUAGGUUGCUUGGAUUUUCUUCAUGCUCACAGGUGUGUGUUAGUCAACACUCAGCCAGUAUUUUUGGAGCAGCUAUGGGUGCCUGGUGGUUUCUCCAGGCUGAGGAUACAGCAGUGGCAAAAGUCAGCCAUCUCUGCCUUCUUGGAGUUUCUAGUUGGAGGGAGAGAGUAGUGUGAAGCCUCUGUCCAGAGGGUGGGUCUGCUGGUGGAAGGCCUGUCACUGUGGUGACAGUAUGAGGUGACGGCUGGGAGGUGACUUGAAAGCUGUUGAGUGGGUCUGUCUGCUCUGGCUGCCAUGGCUGAGGCUCAGCCCACUUCCCCAGGGCCUACCCUCCAUGGAUGAUUGGGGACGAACGGUCUCCUUACGGCUGCAUUCUGUCCCUGCCCGCUUGUGUUCUUGCCGUUGGCUCAGAACUCCCUCUCCCAGCCUCUCCUGGUGUCACCACACCCCAGGCUCCCUGGACCCUUCUGUGACCUGCCUGUCAUCCCAGCCCACUCUCCUUGGGCUGACCCUGGGCUGCAGGGAAUGGGAUGGGUGUCGGCCGGUCUGUCCCACACAGCUAGCUGACGAGGUGGUUUCUGGGGCAGGAGUGGAGGCAGCACAGACAGUGAGGACGAAGAAGAGGAGGACGAGGAGGAGGAAGAAGACGAGGAGGGCAUUGGCUGUGCAGCCCGUGGAGGGGCCACCCCCCUGUCCUACCCCAGCCCUGGCCCUCAGCCUCCAGGCCCCAGCUGGACAGCCACCUUUGACCCAGUGCCUACAGAUGCCCCGACCAGCCCCCGAGUCUCCGGGGAGGAAGAGCUGCACACUGGGCCUCCAGCCCCACAGGGGCCCCUCAGUGUGCCCCAGGGCCUCCCACUCAGAGCCUGGCCAGCCUCCUGCCCGUGAUGCCCUGCAGCUCAGGUCUCAGGACCCCACACCCGCCUCAGCACCUCAGGAAGCCACAGAAGGCAGCAAAGUCACGGAUCCCUCAGCCCCCUGCCAGGCCUUGGUUAGCAUCGGGGACCUUCAGGCCACCUUCCACGGGAUCCGUUCUGCCCCCAACUCCUCGGACAGUGCAACCAGAGACCCCUCUACCUCUGUCCCAGCCUCCGGGGCCCACCAGCCCCCCAGACACAGAAGGGGGAGAAGAGCCCAGAGCCCUUGGGGCUUCCCCAAAGCCAGAGUGCCCAGGCCCUCACGCCUCCUCCAAUACCCAAUGGCUCUGCCCCGGAAGGGCCUGCAUCCCCAGGCUCCCAGUGAGUAUGGCUGCAGCCUGGGCUGCGGAGGUGGGGCUAGGCCUGCUAGACCCUCACACGACGUCUCCCUCUGUUUCCAGAUAGCUGCCUGGUGCGGCAGCGGUGGCCAGAUCUUCCGUCCUCCGUGGAUCUCCAGGGUGGGGGCAGGGCGGGUCCCACGAUGGCCCCCAUUGCCGUCAUCACCCUGACACCCCCACAUUCUCUCCUCUGGGCCCCCAGGAGGCUGGUGCCAGGGAGACAGGCCCAACCCACCCCCAUUUGCACUGAGAAGAGAAGUUUUGGAGCGUUGCCUCCUAGAAUAAAGAUAAAGAGAGUCAAAUAGAGAGAAUGGAGAGAGAGAAACGUAUAUUAUAUAUUAUAUAGAGAGAGGGAGGAGAGCGAGAGAGAGUGAGGACGCCGAGCUGGGCUGGCGGCUCCAAAGCACAGCCCUCCCCGUUCCGUCCCAGCGGGGGCUGGUGUUAGGGUUCCCAAGGUUGCCACCCUCGUGCCCAGCUGUCCCACGCUCCAGCGCAGACGGCCACGCCCACACCCGGCCUUUUAGCUCAGGUCCACCAUGGGGGACGGCCCAGCGUGGGUGGGGGUGCCAGAGGGUCCCGAGUGGGGGCCGUGCCUUUGCCCAGACCCUGCACUUUCAACCAGGCCAGUCCGGCUCUGGGGAGCAGGGGCCUCCCCGGCAACACCCCCAGGGGCCUUGAGGGUCUGAGGUCCCAGCCCUGUUGCCAAGUGGCCUUGUCCCCAGCUCCCUCCUCCCAGGCUGGUGUGAGUGUGCGUGCGUUCGUGCCGAGCUUCUAUUUCAUAUUGCAAAUAUAAAUAAAGGAAGACAGUUUACG
rnacentral:sRNA from 1 species